rnacentral:rRNA from 1 species
CGAGCUCUAUGGAGUUACGAUGUCGCCAAAAUGAGCUCAUCCUGUCAACGUUCCGCGCACAAGUCGCCCCACAGGGUGCCAGGUCACUCUGCAAACCUUGUUAAAACACCAGACCCACGUACACGAUGUUCUCCGGGCAGGAACAGAGCUCCAGCGCAAGGGCAAGGCUUCGCCAUGGCUAGCUACGUUCCUCACAUCUGGCUCCCGCGACGGCCGUGGAGCAGCAGCUGCACCAGUUCAUAUCUCGCGCUUCGAAUUUCUACACGAGAAUCACAGGCAAUGAGAUAAACCCGAACACCUUAGCUCUAGACGGUGUCAACGUUAUGGAAGAACGCUUAGCAAAUGAGCAAAGUGCUAUAUGCAACUGGUGAUUGGAACUCGAAGGGAUUCGUUCUCAAGGAAACAAGUAUGAUUGAGUAUCGCAAUGAAAUCAACGUGUUUCAACGCUCUCCGGCAUUUGGAAGGCUUGCAGAAGACAAUUGCCCAGAGGUGAACUUUGAGCUCAAUAAGCACCACUACAACAAAGGAUACUACCUAGUGAAUGAUAUCUAUCUUCAUUGAUCAACUCUUGUGAAGACAAUCUCCAAUCCGAUAGUAGAGAAGAGGUAUAGGUUUGCCUAAGCACAAGAGUUCAUCCAAUUUCAUACAGAAAUACAUGAUUAGGAAACUCACAUCCAACUCCAAAAUGACUUGGUUGAGCACAUGUGGGCUCACCUUGGCAACCAAUAUAUGUAUUGGUUUUUUUCUUUCAAUGUAUUUAUGACAAUUUAAAUUUAGUUGUAAAUUAUGAGUUUUUUAUUUGGUUGUAAAGUAUUUAUUAUUGUCGUGUAAAACUAUGUGAUUUAUUUGGUUGUGCAAUGUUAGUUCAGAUAUAUGCAUGAAAAAAUUGUGCAUAUUUGGCCGCUGGCCGACCGGGCGAAUCAAAUGGGUCGGCGGAUUGAGCGCACUUCCACGAAAACAUAAACCAGGCCGGACGCCGCCUCUUUGACGGACCCAGUGAACAAAAGAGGGACCAAAUUCACAUAAGUUUGAAUUGUCGCGUUGGAGUUAGCCUUAUCUCCCCUUUAUUGACGUGAAGAUGUUUAAUGAUUCACCCAGGCACAUCCUGAUCACACACUUUUUUUGAGCACAUCCUGAGCACACACUUCACCCAGUGCAUCGCGACCACACCUCACCGUCGGCCCAGGCCCAAGCCCAGCCUUUGACAAUCGAUAGGCGGCGGAGGCCGCCAGCAGGCAG